CGGUAAUUCCAGCUCCAAUAGCGUAUAUUAAAGUUGUUGCGGUUAAAAAGCUCGUAGUUGGCACUCAGUUCCGGACUGACGGUGCACCGCCCGGUGUUUUUCCGUCACGCUCCGAACAGCAGGGAUGACCCUGCCCAGCCGGCUCGCACGGGGUGCUCUUUACCGAGUGUCCCGCGUGGCUGGCAAGUUUACUUUGAAAAAAUUAGAGUGCUCAAAGCAGGCUGCUUGAAUGGCCUGAAUGGUGAUGCAUGGAAUAAUGGAAUAGGACCUCGGUUCUAUUUUAUUGGUUUUCGGAUCCAGAGGUAAUGACGAAUAGAAACAGGCGGGGGCAUUCGUACUGCGACGCUAGAGGUGAAAUUCUUGGACCGUCGCAAGACGAACUAUUGCGAAAGCAUUUGCCAAGGAUGUUUUCAUUAAUCAAGAACGAAAGUUAGAGGUUCGAAGGCGAUCAGAUACCGCCCUAGUUCUAACCAUAAACGAUGCUGACUAGCGAUCCGCCGGCGUUAUUCCCAUGACCCGGCGGGCAGCUUCCGGGAAACCAAAGUCUUUGGGUUCCGGGGGAAGUAUGGUUGCAAAGCUGAAACUUAAAGGAAUUGACGGAAGGGCACCACCAGGAGUGGAGCCUGCGGCUUAAUUUGACUCAACACGGGGAACCUCACCAGGCCCGGACACUGGAAGGAUUGACAGAUUGAGAGCUCUUUCUCGAUUCAGUGGGUGGUGGUGCAUGGCCGUUCUUAGUUGGUGGAGCGAUUUGUCUG
rnacentral:rRNA from 1 species